rnacentral:rRNA from 1 species
UACGGAGGGGGGCUAGCGUUGUUCGGAAUUACUGGGCGUAAAGCGCACGUAGGCGGCUUUUGUAAGUUAGAGGUGAAAAGCCCCGGAGCUCAACUCCGGAAUUGCCUUUAAGACUGCAUCGCUCGAAUCAUGGAGAGGUGAGUGGAAUUCCGAGUGUAGAGGUGAAAUUCGUAGAUAUUCGGAAGAACACCAGUGGCGAAGGCGACUCACUGGACAUGUAUUGACGCUGAGGUGCGAAAGCGUGGGGAGCAAACAGG